rnacentral:rRNA from 1 species
AUUGAACGCUGGCGGCAGGCCUAACACAUGCAAGUCGAGCGGCAGCGGAAAGUAGCUUGCUACUUUGCCGGCGAGCGGCGGACGGGUGAGUAAUGUCUGGGAAACUGCCUGAUGGAGGGGGAUAACUACUGGAAACGGUAGCUAAUACCGCAUAACGUCGCAAGACCAAAGAGGGGGACCUUCGGGCCUCUCGCCAUCAGAUGUGCCCAGAUGGGAUUAGCUAGUAGGUGGGGUAACGGCUCACCUAGGCGACGAUCCCUAGCUGGUCUGAGAGGAUGACCAGCCACACUGGAACUGAGACACGGUCCAGACUCCUACGGGAGGCAGCAGUGGGGAAUAUUGCACAAUGGGCGCAAGCCUGAUGCAGCCAUGCCGCGUGUAUGAAGAAGGCCUUCGGGUUGUAAAGUACUUUCAGCGGGGAGGAAGGCGUUGAGGUUAAUAACCUCAGCGAUUGACGUUACCCGCAGAAGAAGCACCGGCUAACUCCGUGCCAGCCGCCGCGGUAA